UACGAAGGGGGCUAGCGUUGCUCGGAAUUACUGGGCGUAAAGGGAGCGUAGGCGGAUGACUUAGUCAGAGGUGAAAGCCCAGGGCUCAACCCUGGAAUUGCCUUUGAUACUGGUCAUCUUGAGUAUGGGAGAGGUUAGCGGAACUCCGAGUGUAGAGGUGAAAUUCGUAGAUAUUCGGAAGAACACCAGUGGCGAAGGCGGCUAACUGGCCCAUUACUGACGCUGAGGCUCGAAAGCGUGGGGAGCAAAC
rnacentral:rRNA from 1 species